CGACCUGUCGUCCAAUUGGUUAGGAUACCUGACUUUGACUCAGGUGAUAAAGGUUCAAGUCCUUUCAGGUCGU
rfam:Microscilla marina ATCC 23134 1099589004157, whole genome shotgun sequence.